AAGCUCGUUCCCGACGCCAAAAGCGGCCGCGCAUCUCUUAACGGUCACCGCGUCCAAGCGUUCAAAGUUUCUUACGCGCGCAGAGGCGGCUUGUGGCGUUCGUCUCCGGCAACGUCGCCCGGUCACCGACGAUGUCGGCUCCCCUGCCCCCCACGUCUCCGUCAACCUUCGUGUUCUCCUUCCCACAAGUGAGCCUCUGUAUCCUCCGCCUCUAAUUUGGUGGAAUCAAUGUUUGGUCUAAGUGAUAUCCUGUUGUCCCGUGUUGUAUCAUCCAAAUGUUCGAUCAAAUGCUUGUGUGAACCAGCCGUGUGCCCUUGAUUCUUGCAAAACUUUGGUUAGUCUCUAGUUCUCUAUUUUUUGAGAUCAGUCUCUAUUUUAGUAGUCACAUUCUGGAUAUUUGGUGCUAGAUAUCUGUGUGUUCCCUACGGUUUGCUGUCUGUACUUGGCUGAAAUUCAGUUCGAGAAGAAUCUUUGGGUCAUGCAUUCUUGGCAUUACGAGGGAUAUAUAGGGCUUAUAUUAGGUAAGCUGUGAAGAAAAAGUGAGUGAUUAAUAGCUUGGUACUAGUACAGUAGCUGGGAUUGAUUGAGACCAGUAAGAUAGUUUAUUUCCAGUUAAAUCAGAAGUCAUUAGUGGCAGAGUAAAUAAAACUAGUUCAAAGCAAAAACAACUGCUAACAUUAGCUGCCAAAUGUACUUCUACCCUGCAGCCAAUGUUUUCCAGUUGAAG
rnacentral:lncRNA from 1 species